UACAGCCUCCAACAACGAGUGUGUGGAUGUUACAGGAUUUGUUUUUGGUUUUUUUUUUAAUGGUAUUACCACGUCUGAUCACACCAAUAUAUGAUUUUAAUUAAGCGAAUGGCGGGCGAGCUGUCGUGGGGAGCAGGCAAGCAGCGAUGGCUUCUUCCCAUACCACUACGGCUCCGAUGAUAAAUCAAUCCUCGUGCGUUUGGGACUUUUUUUAUUUUUGUAGUUGUUUUUUUUUUUUUUUUUCUUUAAGUACUUUUGGGGAUUUUCCAUGCCGUGAAGAGACCGGGAGAUGGCGGCUUCAACCCCUGCGAAGGAGAAAAGCGGUGGAAAAGCAAAGAAUUAGGCAUAAAACUACCCACCUUGGGGGCUGUGUCAAAGGAACGUGCGGAAAAUAGGUCUGAAUGCUCUGUGGGGAAGAACAACACUGCAGGGAGCUGGCUGGGAUGUGACUGCUGUUAACCUGGGAUCCAAAAGAAAAAAAAACAACAGUUUUCCUGCAGCUCUUUCUAUCUUAUUUCAGAAAUCCAUCACCAGCACCCAGCCUUGCUCCCAGCACCUUUUUGAGCCCCUUUGUCAUCCCAGUUUCCUUGCACCACACUACAAAUCUUCCAUUUCCAAAUAAACCUGCAAAAAGG